ensembl:lncRNA HPYR1 Helicobacter pylori responsive 1
UGGCCUGCAAAUGUCCAGGGGAGACCACUGACAGUGACCACUGAGGAGAUGUGAGUCUGGCUCAAGCCCCCCGGGCUUGAGUGGCCAUGUCCUCCUUCGUUGCUCAUGGGAAGACUGCCCCCCAUGUGACAGCUGACUUGCAGCAUGUGGUGUGUGUCUGUCACCCUUUGCAGCCUGUCACAGCUUUCCUGAUGCAUUUGGAUGGAAAGUGCUACCCCAUCUGCAACUGACGCAUGUCAGGCCAAUGUAUCUACCACUCUGUGGCAGACCCAAGCUAAAUUAGCGGUUCGCUUCUACGUCUGCUCCCUAAUUAUUGCUGUUUGCAUUUGGUCUGGUGUUUUCCUUGUAUUCGAGAUCAGCUGCAGCUUGUCCAGCUGCUUGGGCUCUCCACUCAGCACACAUUUACCAAGCACCUAGGAGGCACGAGGAACCAUAUCAGGUGCCAGGGAAGAUUCGCUUCAAAGGUCCCAUGAUUCCAGUUCUAAUGUUCCUUCCACAGAGGACUCUGCUCCCUCCAGUCAUCACAUGAAGGCUGGUCACUGAGGGUCGCCUCUCCCCUCCACCCUCUACUCCAUGUGCACCCACUCCCAGGGCCCAGUCUCAUGGCUUCUGCCACCAGCUCUGGGUGGAUGCCUCUGAAAUCUCUAUUUUAGGCCUUGAGUUUGUGCCUAAACUUCCUCUCUCUUCUCCUGGAUGUCUUAUACGUGAUUCCAUAUAAAGUUCAGUGUCUUCCUCCUCAUUUUUUCUGCCACUUCAUCUUAUUCUGCCUCUUCUGGCUUUUGUUUUAUGGAUUCACUUCCCAAUCACCCAGAUUAGAAAACCCUGUCACUGCUUCCUAUAUUCAACAUUCAAUUGGAAACUAACUCCUGUACACGUUACCUCAACUAAAGCAGCUCCAAUCCUCUCCAAACCCUGUCUGCAUUUAAUCCCCAUCAUCUGCUGUGCCAAUGUGGCCCCAACCUCAGCCCUCCUUGAUAUAAAUGCCCCCUUUGAGUGUUACCCAAGGGCAAGGCUGAACACAUCAGAUCUGGGCCCCAACCUGCUAUGUGCCACACCUCUCCCAUGGCACUCACCCUGCCCACAGCACCAAGGUUGUCACCAUCCCUGACAGCCAGUGUGACAUAUCCCCUGACCCCCUGCUGGUGGUGUGCCUGGACUGAGGCUGGUGGUGUGUUGGAUCUGAGGGGCCCAGGGGAGCUCCUUUCAGGCUUGGGCAGGAGUGGGGAGUGCUGCCAGGGCCCAGGGACACAGUGAAGGUCCUGCUGGUGGAGGGGAAGGCAAGACAAAGUGCACAAGACAUCUCUUCCUUGACAAGAACGUCCAUUGUUGGAAUCAUUAUAAACCAGUGGAGCUUUUGUCAGAGAGACAUGAAGUCUGAUAUAAUGAGCUAUCAUCUUGCUUCAGCUGCACUGGGACCCCAGCUGUCCCGUUUUCUUGGAAGUACCAGACCUCUCUAUAAAAGUGAUCAAAACUAAGCCUUCUGCUGUGUCUUAAAAACGUUGUCAAUUGCAUCAUUCUGGGAGCCGCAGAGAGAAAGAAGUCCCUUUGUUCUUCCUUCAUCUUCUGCCAUGAUUGUGAGGCCUCACCAGCCAUGUGAAACUCCUACUCAGUGUGAAGAUGACAAGGAGGAAGACCUUUAUGAUGAUCCACUUCCACUUAACAAAUAGCAGGUAGGGGUCUCAUCCUGAACCCAAGCCUGGCACCUUUGCCUAAUGGGUGAGAACACAACUUUGAAAUCAAGCUUGGCUCAAAUCCGGUUCUGUCGUUUACCACCAUCUUUUCAACUUUGGGCAGUAUACCUGGUAUCUCCAGGCUCGUUUCUUGCUUCUGAAGCUGGGCCAAUAAUACUGAUCCACCGGGGCUGCUAUAAAUACGAGACCACUAAUAAGAAACGCUGACCACAGUGACCACACACAACGGAAACUCAAAAAACGCUGGAUGCUUCCUGCCCAUGAACAUCGGACUCCAAGUUCUUCCACUUUGGGAUUCUUGGCCUUCUACCACAGACUGAAGGCUGCACUGCUGGCUUCCCUACUUUUGAGGUUUUUGGACUCGGAUUGGCUUCGUUGCUCCUCAGCUUGAGGUCAGCCUAUUGUGGGACCUUACCUUGUGAUCGUGUGAGUCAAUACUCCUUAAUAAACUCCCCU